GAUGAACGCUGGCGGCGUGCCUAAUACAUGCAAGUCGAGCGAACAGACGAGGAGCUUGCUCCUCUGACGUUAGCGGCGGACGGGUGAGUAACACGUGUAUAACCUACCUAUAAGACUGGUAUAACUUCGGGAAACCGGAUCUAAUACCGGAUAAUAUAUUGAACCGCAUGGUUCAAUAGUGAGAGACGGUUUUGGUGUCACUUAUAGAUGGAUCCGCGCCGCAUUAGGUAGUUGUUAAGGUAACGGCUUACCAAGGCAACGAUGCGUAGCCGACCUGAGAGGGUGAUAGGCCACACUGGAACUGAGCCACGGUCCAGAGUCCUACGGGAGGCAGCAGUAGGGAAUCUUCCGCAGUGGGCGAGAGCCUGACGGAGCGACGCCGCGUGAGUGAUGAAGGUCUUCGGAUCGUAAAGCCCUGUUAUUAGGGAAGAACAAAUGUGUAAGUAAAUAUGCACGUCUUGACGGUAACUAAUAAAAAAGCCACGGCUAACUACGUG
rnacentral:rRNA from 1 species